UACACGGAGCUUAGGAAGUUUGUGCCAAUUC
rnacentral:piRNA from 1 species